ensembl:lncRNA
UCGCAGAGUGACUGGAUCCAGCCCUUCUCCUACCUUCCCAAAAAAAACCACAUCCAAUUUGCUCUUUGAAACAGUCUAACUUUCAUUAUUUUCUCUCUCUCAGCAUAAAAAAAAAAGCCAACAGAGCCCUUGGCCUUUGAGAAGCAACGGAAAAAAACCUCAUGAUGAACUGACACUGUGUGUAUAUACGUGUACAUUAUACACAGACUUGGCCAACAGUUGGAUAAUGUAUUUUUAAGUGCUACUGCUUCCAAGCAUCAUCUUGGCACACCUCAGAUAUUCAUCUUUCAUUUGCUAACUGAAGGAAAAUUGGUUUGCCUUGAAAAUCUGUUUUCUAGAUACUGUAAAUUGUGGCUCAUGAAAACAUGCUGUUCCCAAGGAUGCGGCUUUGUUUGUCAUUUCACACUGUGUGGAUGUUCUGUGGAUGUGAAGAGCCUACAAACAACCCCCCUCACCUUCUUUGAGAGCACUGCAGCAACUUGUUGGAUUUGCCAGGAACAAGCAUGUGCCAGAAGUCAAACUUGAAAAGGACAAGGAUCAGCACUGCAGACAGCAGAACUCAAGCACUCAUAAGCAACUGUAGCUCUUGUCAUGCUGUUUUUUACCCUAGUUUUCCAACUAGCCAAUAUAACACAUUAAGAUUGUUGUACCCACUGAGAAGGCUACUCUCCCAUUGUGAUUUCUCCUUUGUUGUUCCGUGCACCUAGAGGAAAACCCUGUCAUAUUAAUGUCUGCUUUCAGAUUCCAGUCCUUCCUUAAAAUAUUCAUUUGCAAUAAUGUGAAAAAGAGCGGCCACAGUUCCUGCUUUUCCCCACCUUUCUUCCCAGUGCCUGUGCGCAGCCCCUUUCUGAGACUUGUGGAGAAGGAUCACCUCACUGAUGUUUACUGUUUGUUUGCUGGUGAGCCAGGGAACACCACAUCAGUAACAUCCGCUGGGGAUGCAUCUAUUGCAGUAUGCAGAAAAGAGAAGUGGUUGGCAGUGAGCAACAUGAGACCUAAGGCUAUGGGGUGUUUUCUGGGAAGCAUUCACUGUCCUUGUAGAAACUUUAGCAUUUCAGUGCGUAUUUUUAUUCGCUUUAACAAAAUAAAAAGACAACAUACUGAAAGGCUUUUGCAGCAGGGCAUUUCAAAUUGUUUUGUUUAAAAUAGUUGAAACAUAAAGUUUAUUUUAUAGCAUGACAGUUUAUAUCAAGUGAUGAACAUGGAAUGUAAGACAUUAAAACUUCUU